UUAAAUAUUAAAAUUUUACUCAGACGACACUAUAAAUGGUUUGGGUUUGGGGUUCUCCGGCGGGCACUUACCAGCCGAAGCCAGUAGCUAGGCGGCCCGCCAAAGCAACAAAGGUAAGGUAUACAAAGGGUGGGAGAUCUACCCGUGAGGGCAUGAACUCGGUAAUGAUCCUUCCGCAGGUUCACCUACGGAAA
rnacentral:misc_RNA from 1 species